AUGCAGAUCUAUGCAUGGAUAGGAUGCAACAGCUCGGCAAAGUUUGGCCAUUUAUAUGCUGCUGCAGCCACUCGGCCGGGUAAUGGAGUGAGCGUCACAUCUGUGCUUGGCGGAACAUCUGAUAACACUGGAUCAAGCAUGGCACGCCGCUUAGUGCUGAAGACAGGUCUAAAUAUAAUUUUAGCAUGUAACAUUCCGAAAGACAGCCCCAUGCUUGAGGCUGCUGCAGAGAGGAAACUUGUAGAGAAGCUGAGAAGUUUAGGCUAUAUCAGAUCCAUAACAGGAGAGGCUAACGCUCACGCUGAUGGAUACUUGUGA
rnacentral:rRNA from 1 species